GUGGGGAAUCUUGCGCAAUGGGCGAAAGCCUGACGCAGCCAUGCCGCGUGAAUGAUGAAGGUCUUAGGAUUGUAAAAUUCUUUCACCGGGGACGAUAAUGACGGUACCCGGAGAAGAAGCUCCGGCUAACUUCGUGCCAGCAGCCGCGGUAAUACGAAGGGGGCUAGCGUUGCUCGGAAUUACUGGGCGUAAAGGGCGCGUAGGCGGACAGCGUAGUCAGAGGUGAAAGCCAGGGCUCAACCUUGGAAUUGCCUUUGAUACUGGCUGUGUUGAGUUUGGGAGAGGUGAGUGGAACUCCGAGUGUAGAGGUGAAAUUCGUAGAUAUUCGGAAGAACACCAGUGGCGAAGGCGACUCACUGGCCCGUUACUGACGCUGAGGCGCGAAAGCGUGGGGAGCAAACAGGAUUAGAUACCCUGGUAGUCC
rnacentral:rRNA from 1 species